rfam:Stegodyphus mimosarum contig126289, whole genome shotgun sequence.
GCCUUCGUGGUGUAGUGGUCAGCACGCUGGGCGCGUAUUUCCAGAGGUCCAUGGUUCGAGUCCCGGCGAAGGCG